UAUGCUUGUCUCAAAGCUUAAGCCAUGCAAGUCUCAGUACAAACUGAAUUAAAGUGAAACCGCAAAAGGCUCAGUAAACCAGUCAUGAUUCACUUGAGUAUACAUGACCUGUCUUUGGAUAACUGUGGUAAUCCUAGAGCUAAUACAUGCAAUCAAGUCCCGACCAGUUUACCUGGGAAGGACGCCUUUUAUUAGAUCAAGACCAAUCGCUCGGCUCGUUCGAGCGUUUCCUUGAUGACUCUAGGUAACACAUCAGAUCGCAUGGUCUCAGCACCGGCGACUUAUCUUUCAAAUGCCUGACUUAUCAACUGUCGAUGGUAGACUCUAUGUCUACCAUGGUUGUAACGGGUAACGGGGAAUCAGGGUUCGAUUCCGGAGAGGGAGCCUGAGAAACGGCUACCACAUCCAAGGAAGGCAGCAGGCACGCAAAUUACCCACUCCCGGCACGGGGAGGUAGUGACAAUAAAUAACGAUACGGGACUCUUUUGAGGCCCCGUAAUCGGAAUGAGUACACUUUAAAUCCUUUAACCAGGAUCCAUUGAAGGGCAAGUCUGGUGCCAGCAGCCGCGGUAAUUCCAGCUUCAAUAGCGUAUAUUAAAGUUGUUGCGGUUAAAAAGCUCGUAGUUGGUUCUGCGUGCUACGCUGUCGGUUCGCCGCCUGCCGGUGUAACUGGCAUGCCGUGGCAUGUCCUGUCGGUGGCGAACGAGGAGCCUUGUUAGGAGCCGGCCCGAGUCAAAAGCUCGGUGUCCGGAGGCCGGAGGCCUCUUUCGUUCGCCUGCUCUAUCCUACCUAGGUGCUCUUCACCGAGUGUCGAGGUAGGCCGACACGUUUACUUUGAACAAAUUAGAGUGCUCAAAGCAGGCUAAAAUCUCUGCCUGAAUAGUGGUGCAUGGAAUAAUAAAACAGGACCUUGGUUCUAUUUUGUUGGUUCUUAAGAACACAAGGUAAUGAUCAAUACGGACAGGCGGGGGCAUUCGUAUUGCGACGUUAGACUUGGCAAAUGCUUUCGCGGUGAAAUUCUUGGAUCGUCGCAAGACGCACAAGAGCGAAAGCAUUUGCCAAGUAUGUCUUGAUUGAUCAAGAACGAAAGUUAGAGGUUCGAAGGCGAUCAGAUACCGCCCUAGUUCUAACCAUAAACGAUGCCAGCCAGCGAUCCGCCGAUGUUCCUCCGAUGACUCGGCGGGGAGCUUCUUCCCGGGAAACCAAAGCUUUUGGGUUCCGGGGGAAGUAUGGUUGCAAAGCUGAAACUUAAAGGAAUUGACGGAAGGGCACCACCAGGAGUGGAGCCUGCGGCUUAAUUCGACUCAACACGGAAAACCUCACCAGGCCAGGACAUUGGAAGGAUUGACAGAUUGAUAGCUCUUUCUUGAUUCAGUGGGUAGUGGUGCAUGGCCGUUCUAUAGUUGGUGG
rnacentral:rRNA from 1 species